ensembl:snRNA U6 U6 spliceosomal RNA
GCGCUUGCUUCCGCAGCCCCGAAGCUGAAAUUGGAAUGACAGAGAUCAGCGCCCCCUGAGCAAGGACGACACGUAAAUGUGUGACACAUUCCACAUAUUU